GAAUUUUCCGCAAUGGGCGAAAGCCUGACGGAGCAACGCCGCGUGAGGGAAGAAGGCCUCUGGGCUGUAAACCUCUUUUCUCAAGGAAGAAGAUCUGACGGUACUUGAGGAAUAAGCCACGGCUAAUUCCGUGCCAGCAGCCGCGGUAAUACGGGAGUGGCAAGCGUUAUCCGGAAUUAUUGGGCGUAAAGCGUCCGCAGGCGGCCUUGUAAGUCUGUUGUUAAAGCGUGGAGCUCAACUCCAUUUGAGCAAUGGAAACUACAAGGCUUGAGUGUGGUAGGGGCAGAGGGAAUUCCCGGUGUAGCGGUGAAAUGCGUAGAUAUCGGGAAGAACACCAGUGGCGAAGGCGCUCUGCUGGGCCAUAACUGACGCUCAUGGACGAAAGCCAGGGGAGCGAAAGGGAUUAGAUACCCCUGUAGUC
rnacentral:rRNA from 1 species